rnacentral:lncRNA from 1 species
CAUUUCUGAGUGUAUUCCAUGCAACUCUACACAUUUUGGCAUGAGGCUGAGAGAAGAUUUACAAUUUUAUAACUCAAUUCACUCAAUUUUACUCAUUUUGACAUGGGGCGGAGAUGAAAAUGAGCUGUUUUACAGCUAAUUUCCUGCAAUUCUAGAAAUGUUUUCAUAGGGUGGAGAGAAAUGUUUGCAGUUUUUUAUAUUAUAUCUGAGUGAGACUGACUAACAAUAUCAAUGGAGCCUUCCCAGCAGGUAAUUUGACCAUGACAACAAGUUUAGACAGACUAUCAGUGACUUACUUAACAAGAGAAAAACUGCUGAUGCGCAACCAAAUUUCUAAAUUGCACCUUGUGCGUUCCACAAAAAAAAAGAAAAUCUGAGGGCUUUCAAAAGGUAAGGGCCACCGGUUGAGAUAUAGUUUGGUGCAGUAUGGUGCAGGUAGAGUAUGGUGCAGUAUUGUGCAGGUAGAGUAUGGUACAAGUAGAGUAUGGUACAGUAUGGCGCAGUAUGGUACAAUAUGGUGCAGACACAGUAUCAUGCAGUAUGGUGAAGGUACAGUAUGGUGCAGGUAGAGUAUGGUACAAGUAGAGUAUGGUACAGUAUGGCGCAGUAUGGUACAAUAUGGUGCAGACACAGUAUCAUGCAGUAUGGUGAAGGUACAGUAUGGUGCAGGUAGAGUGUGGUGUAGGUAGAAUAUGAUUCAGGUACAUUAUGUUACAGUAUGGUACAAUAUGGUGCAGAUACAGUAUCAUGCAGUAUGGUGAAGGUACAGUAUGGUACAGGUAGAGUAUGGUGCAUGUAGAGUGUGGUGUAGGUAGAAUAUGGUUCAGGUACAUUAUGUUACAGUAUGGUACAAUAUGGUGCAGAUACAGUAUCAUGUAGUAUGGUGACGGUACAGUAUGGUACAGGUAGAAUGUGGUGCAUGUAGAGUGUGGUGUAGGUAGAAUAUGGUUCAGGUACAUUAUGUUACAGUAUGGUACAAUAUGGUGCAGAUACAGUAUCAUG